UACGGGGAGUUUUGCAGGUUUGCUCCCAGCUUGUGUGGAUUCUGCUGUGCAAAUCCAUGCAAAACUCUCUGUGCC
rnacentral:pre_miRNA from 1 species